AAAAGAACAGGAGGGAAUGAGAGGCUCAGCCCCAUAGACCCUUCUCCCUGCUGCCAUCCACUCAGGGCAUUGUGCUUAGUGAAAGCCCAGUUUCCGCAGGGAUUACUUUGGGCACACAACAUUCUAGGAGCUGGAUGUCCAGGAAUUCCUGUUAAUUAGGCAUUUAUUCACGGAAUAAAUGUUUCCCUGAAGAGCUUUCUGCAGCUGGCCAAUGUUCCGGUUUGGUCGUGGGCAGUGAGAUGCCCAUUAGUCUAGAAUACACGACAGUGUGAGGCGCACGUUCACACGUGAAUUGCCCGUAGUCAAGGAUCUUGCUAUGGUGCCCAGGCUGGCCUUGAACUUCUGGCCUCAAGCAAUCCACCCAUCUCAGUCUCCCGAGUAGCCGGGAUUACAGAUCUACAUUUAGAACAGGACUGCAAAGAAAGGAAAGGAGAAAUGAAGAAAAGGAAGCAGACAAAGUUCUGGUUUUCAGUAGUUCCUUGGAGAGCUCAAGACUCAGACUCUGACCCUGUCUGCAAAGGGGGAUCGUCCAGCCUUUGAAAUAACCAUUUCCUUCCCUCCUGGCCUUUUUCAGAUCAGAGAGGUGGGAGGGGGCGUGGAGAUUUAGUUCCCGGAUGCACUGAACAGGAGGCUGUGAGCUUUCCUCUGAUGUGCGACUCUUCUGCAGGGGCCCUGGCCCUGGGAGGCGGGGCUCUGGGCUGCGGCAGCUCCUCCUGUGGUCUACCUUGGCUUCACUGCAGGCCCAGCUGCUGCUGACCACGCGGGUUUCUUUUAAGAGGCUUGGCUGACCCUCAGCACAGCUGAAAUGUUCUGAGACCUUGAAUGUCAGAGAUGGAAGCAACUUUAUGAUUCUCUGGGCCAGAGGUUCCCAGGCUGGGGUCCCUGGACUUGGGGUGCUCAGACUAUUCCCGGUUCUUUCAAAAGCUGAAAAGAAACAGUAUAUAGCCCCUGUGUGAGGGCUCACGGGCUCGUAAAAGUAUCCGGUGUCUUGACUUUUCUCUGAAAUCAGCUCCAGCUGGUCCCUCUGUACCCUGGUGUUGCUGGUGACAGUGAUAGCUUCCCACUGAACUUAGCUGCUAGAAGCAAGGUGAAGCCCUUCACACACCAUCUCACUGAUCUUCGAUCCUGUAAGAUGGGUACGUUUAUGAGUCCUAUUUUGCAGAUGGAGACACUAAGUGCCAAAGGGGUUAAGCACUGUGCCCGAGUUCACACACCCAGCAGCCUGACUCCACAGCUCCAACCCCCAGCUACUAGCAAAUAGUCCUCUGAAAGCUCAGUUAUUUAGCUUUGAACACAGCAAAACUCAUCAUUAUUCAGGGAAGAUAAUUUAGUAGAGAAAAUGUUGAGAUCUAAGUACUACACUUAGGAGGAAUAAUAAAAGGGUUGGUGGAAUAGUUGAGGAUAUGCCAUUUUUAAUUUUUUAUUGAUUUUGUUUUGUUUUGUUUUGUUUUUCUUUGCUCUUGAGAGAUGGCACAUGCCACUUUGUUUUGUAAAACAAAGGCCUAGAGAAGUGAGGGUCCUGCCCAGUGUCAUCUUGGGAACUGGUAGCCAGGACGAGAACUUGUUUCACUUUGCGUGGACUUCUUGGGUCUGACUCCAGAGGGCCUCCAGGGCAGCAGUGGCUUGUCCCGAGCUGAUGGCAUAUGACUGGGGGUUCCCUGGAAGGGUCUCUGACAUCCCCCUGUCCUGGCAGGCCACUCCCCAGCAAGGGUCAGGCCACACAUCUUGACUAGCUUUCCACCAGUCCCCACCGACCUCCCACCAGCUGCACAUUGCCUUGGCCUUGCCAGACCACAGAGCCGUUUAGAGCUGGCAGAGGCCAGCAGAAUUCAUCUUCAGCAAACUCUUCCUUCCAAUCCCAUCAUUGUACAUGUACUUUAUGAUUUGCAAAGUGCUUCCACAUCUUCCACAUCAUUCAACUUGAGACCCAGGGCUGUUCUGGGAGCUGGGUGGGGGAGGGAUAGUACCCCAUUUUACAAAAGGAGAAAAGGAAGUUCUAAGAGGCAAAGUACCUUGUUCAAGGUCACACACUCAGAUAAGAAAUGUUGGAGUCAGAAGUUGGAGCUGGGUUGACCUUUUCCAUUCCAGUGCCUGUUGCACCAAACAGCCUCCCUGUUUGGAAUGAGGAAUUGCAAGAAGCAGCGGUAAGUCACAUGCCAAGCUGGGUUGUGCCAAGAACUUUAUAUUUAACUAACAGCAUCGCCAUUAACCAUAUCUUUUUUCCCAUAGUGGACAAAUACAGGUACCUAAAUUAAAACAAUUUUAUCUGUGUCAACCAAGAUUGCAGGCCUGCACUCUGAGAACUCAUGAUGUAAUGAAUAGACACAAAUGUUCAAGGCAGAAGUGGUUUAUAUUCUAGACUCAUAACUGUCUCACUGUGACCCUGAGAAAAUGUUAUGCUCUGGGCCCCUGUUUUCCAUGUGUACAAUGAAGAUAAUAAUACCUAACACCUACCUUGCUUGUUAUGAAAAUGAUUAGGGCCGUCAUAUACAAGUUUCUUCGUAAAAUUUUAAGACGUGUUAUACAACUAUUACACAUGACCAUGAAUCUUCGUAAACACCUAAGGCAAGGGAAAUUCACAUACACACACACACACACACACACACACACACACACACACAUAAACACAUUUAUAUGUAAUUAAUGAUGAAUAAGUACAUCCUAAGUAGUUUACAUGGCUCAUUCUAUUAAUUGGAACAAGAGCCUUGUGGAAGCUAGUACCAUGAUCAUUCCCAUUUUAUAGAUGAGGAAACUGAAACCCAGAGAUCUUAAGUAACAGGUAGCAAAUGGCAGAAGCAGGAUAUGAAAUCUGGAUAACAGGUAAGCUCUUUAACAGCCAAGGUGCAUCAGAAUCACCUGAAGGGCUGGUUAAAAUAUGAAAUGCUGAGUCCCACCCCGUGAUUCUGAUUCAAUAGGUUUGGUGUGGGGCCUGAAAAUUGGAUGCUGAUACUGCCGGAUCAGGGACCACACUUUGAGAGCCACUAUGUUAAGCUUUGUGCCCAAGACCACAUACCCAGCAGUCUGACUCCACAGCUCCAACCCUCAACUACUAGCAAAUAAAUAGUCUUUUAAAAGCUCAGUUGUAUAGCUUUGGAUACUGCAAAACUCAUCAUGAUUCAGGGAAGGGAAUUUGGUAGAGAAAAUGUUGGGGUCUCAGUACUACACGUAGGAGGAAUAAUAAAAGGGUCUCACUGCUUGUAAUCCCAGCACUUUGGGAGGCCGAGGCGGGCUGAUCACGAGGUCAGGAGAUCGAGACCAUCCUGGCCAACAUGGUGAAACCCUGUCUCUACUAAAAUACAAAAAAUGAGCCUGGUGUGAUGGUGCAUGCCUAUAGUCCCAGCUACUCGGGAGGCCGAGGCAAGGGAAUCGCUUGAACCCAGGAGGCAGAGGUUGCAGUAAGCUGAGAUCGCGCCACUGCACUCCAGCCUGGCAACAGAGCAAGGCUGUGUCUCAAAGAAAAAAAAAAAGUGUCUCACUGUAUACAGAGCUCUCCUGCCCUUCCAAUGGCCCAAUCCAGGCCCCCUGAGGCCUGUGACACAGGUUAGCUGGAUCUCUGUAUGCACUAGGUGCUUGACUUAUGUCUGGUAGAUACAUGUUACGCUAAUGGAGAGGUGUGGAAGUGGACGGUGAUGCUGGGUAGACCUUUUCUCCUUCGGAAACCAAGUGAGAGAAGUUACCCCAUGCAUUUGCCUGUGUUUGAAGGCCCUGCAGGUGCCUGAAUCUUUGUGGCUGUGGCUACUCAGGCCCUUCCCCAGGGCCAUCCAGCAGGAGGGAAGGCCAUUUGUCUGGAAAAGGCACAGGAGAGAAUUCACAUGAUGUCUUCCCAGCUCCCAUCAGUCAGGGUUUCCCUUUAAGCUCCUCACACUCCCAGAUUUCAGGAAACAGUCUAUGAAUGGAGAGAAAAGGCACAGCCUUCAAAAACAGAAAGCACAGACCAAGAAUAUUUAAAUUCAAUAAACCUAAUUUAAUUUAUGUUUUUGAAAAGAAAUAAGAAACCAACUUCCAGAAGAAGAGAAGCAUUUCAGAAAACAGGGGUUGAGCCAAAAGCUGUGGUCACAGAUAUAAGAGAGUAAAAAAUCAAGGGCAUAUGGAUAUCCACUUGUUCCAGAACUAUAUUUGUGGAAAAGACUAUGCUUUCUCUACUAAAUUGCAUUGAUAUUUUUGUAAAAAAUCAGUUGUCCAGACCUAGAAUAGCCAAAACAAUCUUGAAAAACAACAAAGUUGGAGGACUCACACUUCACAAUUUCAAAAUUUACUACAAAUCUGCAGCAAUCAAGACUGUGUGGUACUGGUGUAAAGACAGACUUAUAUCAAUAGCACAGAAUUUGAGAGUCCAGAAAUACAAGCUCACAUUUAUGAUAAGUUGAUUUUCUGCAAUGGUGCCAAGAUCAUUCAAUGGAGGAAAAAAACCAGAAUCUUCAACAAAUGGUGUUGGGGCAACUGGAUAUCCAUAUGCAAAAGAAUGAAGUUGGACCCCUGACUUACACCAUAUAAAAACAUUAACUCAAAAUGAACCAAAGACCCAAAUGUAAGAGCUAAAACUAUAAAGCUUUGAGAAGAAAACAUAGGUAUAAAUCUUCAUGACUUUGAAUUAGGCAAUGGGAUAUUUCCUCAUUUAGUUUGGUCUUGUUUAACUUCUCUCAGCAAUGUUUUGUAGUUUUCAGUAUAAAUCUUGCACAGCUCUGGCCAGACUUAUGCCUAAGCAUUUCAUAUUUUUGUGUUACUGUAAAUGGUAUUGUCUUUGAAUUGCAAUUACCAAUUUUUUUUUGCUUGUGUAUAGUAAUAAAAUUGAUUUCUUUAUGUUGAUUUGAUAUCCUGCAACCUUGCUAAGCUCACUUAUUAGUUCUGCAGCUUUAAUGUAGAUUUCAUCAGAUUUUCCCCAUUGACAAUUAUGCCAUCUGUGAAUAAAGGCAGUUUCUGAUCUGGAUG
rnacentral:lncRNA from 10 species